rnacentral:misc_RNA from 1 species
GAUGAAGAACGUAGCGAAAUGCGAUAAGUAAUGUGAAUUGCAGAAUUCGGUGAAUCAUCGAAUCUUUGAACGCACAUUGCGCCCGCCAGUAUUCUGGCGGGCAUGCCUGUCUGAGCGUCAUUUCAACCCUCAUGCCCCUAGGGCGUGGUGUUGGGGAUCGGCCAAAGCCCGCGAGGGACGGCCGGCCCCUAAAUCUAGUGGCGGACCCGUCGUGGCCUCCUCUGCGAAGUAGUGAUAUUCCGCAUCGGAGAGCGAUGAGCCCCUGCCGUUAAACCCCCAACUUUCCAAGGUUGACCUCAGAUCAGGUAGGAAUACCCGCUGAACUUAAGCAUAUCAAUAAGCGGAGGA